GACGAACGCUGGCGGCGUGCUUAACACAUGCAAGUCGAACGGAAAGGCCCUGCUUUUGUGGGGUGCUCGAGUGGCGAACGGGUGAGUAACACGUGAGUAACCUGCCCUUGACUUUGGGAUAACUUCAGGAAACUGGGGCUAAUACCGGAUAGGAGCUCCUGCUGCAUGGUGGGGGUUGGAAAGUUUCGGCGGUUGGGGAUGGACUCGCGGCUUAUCAGCUUGUUGGUGGGGUAGUGGCUUACCAAGGCUUUGACGGGUAGCCGGCCUGAGAGGGUGACCGGCGACAUUGGGACUGAGAUACGGCCCAGACUCCUACGGGAGGCAGCGGUGGGGAAUAUUGCACAAUGGGCGGAAGCCUGAUGCAGCAACGCCGCGUGCGGGAUGACGGCCUUCGGGUUGUAAACCGAUUUCGCCUGUGACGAAGCGUGAGUGACGGUAAUGGGUAAAGAAGCACCGGCUAACUACGUG
rnacentral:rRNA from 1 species